GGCGGCGUGCCUAACACAUGCAAGUCGUACGAGAAAGUCGGCUUCGGCUGAUGAGUAAAGUGGCGCACGGGUGAGUAACGCGUGGAUAAUCUGCCUUUUAGUUGGGAAUAACGUACCGAAAGGUGCGCUAAUACCGGAUAAUACUGCAUAACUACUGUUGUGUAGUCAAAGAAGGCCUCUGUUUACAAGCUUUUGCUGAAAGAUGAGUCCGCGUACCAUUAGCUAGUUGGUAGGGUAAUGGCCUACCAAGGCUACGAUGGUUAGCUGGUCUGAGAGGAUGAUCAGCCACACUGGAACUGAGACACGGUCCAGACUCCUACGGGAGGCAGCAGUGAGGAAUAUUGCGCAAUGGGGGCAACCCUGACGCAGCAACGCCGCGUGAGUGAGGAAGGUUUUCGGACCGUAAAGCUCUGUCGAGCGGGAAGAAAUGUAUCGUGGCUAAUAUCCAUGAUAUUUGACGGUACCGCUAGAGGAAGCACCGGCUAACUCCGUG
rnacentral:rRNA from 1 species